rnacentral:rRNA from 1 species
GUCGGGAAUAUUGCGCAAUGUAGGAAACUCUGACGCAGUGACGCCGCGUAUAGGAAGAAGGUUUUCGGAAUGUAAACUAUUGUCGUUAGGGAAGAAAAAAGACAGUACCUAAGGAGGAAGCUCCGGCUAACUACGUGCCGGCAGCCGCGGUAAUACGUAGGGAGCGAGCGUUAUCCGGAUUUAUUGGGUGUAAAGGGUGCGUAGACGGGUAUGCAAGUUGGUUGUGAAAUCCCUCGGCUUAACUGAGGAACUGCAACCAAAACUGUAUAUCUUGAGUACAGGAGAGGUAAGUGGAAUUCCUAGUGUAGCGGUGAAAUGCGUAGAUAUUAGGAGGAACACCAGUGGCGAAGGCGACUUACUGGACUGAAACUGACGUUGAGGCACGAAAGUGUGGGGAGCAAACAGG